UGGGGAAUAUUGCACAAUGGGCGCAAGCCUGAUGCAGCCAUGCCGCGUGUAUGAAGAAGGCCUUCGGGUUGUAAAGUACUUUCAGCGGGGAGGAAGGCGAUAAGGUUAAUAACCUUGUCGAUUGACGUUACCCGCAGAAGAAGCACCGGCUAACUCCGUGCCAGCAGCCGCGGUAAUACGGAGGGUGCAAGCGUUAAUCGGAAUUACUGGGCGUAAAGCGCACGCAGGCGGUCUGUCAAGUCGGAUGUGAAAUCCCCGGGCUCAACCUGGGAACUGCAUUCGAAACUGGCAGGCUAGAGUCUUGUAGAGGGGGGUAGAAUUCCAGGUGUAGCGGUGAAAAGCGUAGAGAUCUGGAGGAAUACCGGUGGCGAAGGCGGCCCCCUGGACAAAGACUGACGCUCAGGUGCGAAAGCGUGGGGAGCAAACA
rnacentral:rRNA from 1 species